rnacentral:rRNA from 1 species
UACGUAGGGUGCAAGCGUUGUCCGGAAUUAUUGGGCGUAAAGAGCUCGUAGGCGGCUUGUCACGUCGGCUGUGAAAACCCGGGGCUCAACCCCGGGCCUGCAGUCGAUACGGGCAAGCUAGAGUUCGGCAGGGGAGACUGGAAUUCCUGGUGUAGCGGUGAAAUGCGCAGAUAUCAGGAGGAACACCGGUGGCGAAGGCGGGUCUCUGGGCCGCAACUGACGCUGAGGAGCGAAAGCAUGGGGAGCGAACAGG